UAGGGAAUCUUCCGCAAUGGGCGAAAGCCUGACGGAGCAACGCGGCGGGAGUGAUGAAGGUCUUCGGAUCGUAAAACUCUGUUAUGAGGGAAGAAAAAAUGGGUAAGUAACUAGGAACGUCUUGACGGUACCUAAUCAGAAAGCCACGGCUAACUACGUGCCAGCAGCCGCGGUAAUACGUAGGUGGCAAGCGUUAUCCGGAAUUAUUGGGCGUAAAGCGCGCGUAGGCGGGUUUUUAAGUCUGAUGUGAAAGCCCACGGCUCAACCGUGGAGGGUCAUUGGAAACUGGAAAACUUGAGUGCAGAUGAGGAAAGUGGAAUUCCAUGUGUAGCGGUGAAAUGCGCAGAGAUAUGGAGGAACACCAGUGGCGAAGGCGACUUUCUGGUCUGUAACUGACGCUGAUGUGCGAAAGCGUGGGGAUCAAACAGG
rnacentral:rRNA from 1 species